rnacentral:lncRNA from 1 species
UGAGAGGGUUGGUCCCUUCUAGGUGAUGUUAAAGAUGUCUUCCAUAUGACCAUGGCUGACCUCCAUGCCUGAUUUUAGGCUCUCUCUGGAUUCUUUGUCUGCUUUAGAUAUAUGCAUGUAUAUGUCUGUCUCUGCCAGUUUGUGGAUGUUUGUGUUUUGGAGACAGCUGGAAAAAGAGAUUAAGGAUGGAAUAGGUGCUGUUUGCUCCAGGCCUUAACUCAAGGAGGCAUUCCAAGAGAAAGAAGAAAAUCGCUUCUCAGAUGAUGCUUAAUACCCCCUCCCCCCCGGGACUACCUUGCUGUACCUAUAAAUACAAACAGCUGGCAUCCCCAUCACUGGAAAAAUGGCUCUCACGUCGACCCAGGGGGAUGGCUGUGAAGCAACUAACCAGGACUCAAGUUCCGGAAGCAGAAGUGGCCUUUGAGUUGUUGACUUCCCAAAGGCAUACAGCAAGGAGGUGGCAGAAGCGGUACCAGAACCCAGGGUUUCUAAUUUGAAACCUCUUCUAACAGCACACUGCAGCAUCUCCCAGGGGCAUCACAGCGACCACCACAUCGUCAGCUCCUCUUAUGCAGGAGAGAAAGGGAGACUGACUGAGCAGUCAGCUGCACGUCUUGGAAAUAUCUGGCCUUUGUGGGCAUAGAAGUCCAAGCAAAAUCACUACCCACAGAAAGCAUCUAAGUACCGGGAUACGUGCCGGCAUUGUUUUCUGACUUUUUAAAGCAAUGGAUUCCUGUCUGUGGGCUGUGAAGAGAGAAGCCUUCCUGGAAUUUACUUCGAGGGGCCCGUCCAUACAUCCUCAUGAACCGCCAAAUCUUGUGUAUCGAGAGAAUGAAUAUAAAAUGGACAAGGGCCAGAUCAUGUAAAAAAUCAGAACUUUGACUCGCAACCUGUCCUGGACACCAACCCUUUAUCCACGAUAAACAACCCUGGAAGCCAGAUGCUGUAAGCCAGACUUGUAGGAAGACAGAUUGCUAUCUCUAGUGACAAUCCUGGCAGCUAAACAAUAAUUCUGUAACAAUUGGCCCCCAAUGUCCAGGCAUUGAUUAAUAACUGAUAGCUUCUUUAUUUGCUAUCCCUGCUUCCAACUUCACUAGACAUGCACCCCUAACCAAUAGGAUGCCCCACUUCUAGGCUGCCCGCCUCAGCUUCCCCAUGCCAACAGCCUCCAACCAGGGCACGCCGGAGCACUCCGUCCGUUCCACUAUAAAGCUCUCCCACUCCUCGGCCUGCCUUUGAGUCUCUGCCAAAACGCAAUGACCGUGUCCCGUUCCCUUGCUAUUGCAAGGUCAAAAUAAACAGCCCUUGCUUUUCUCAUUUGAUUGGUCUUCGUUUAGUUCCACAGUAUAAAUCAGAGGCAUAAUAUGGCUCAUUCAUAUACAUGCCACUCCCCUCCAAUAAUUGUAGC